rnacentral:lncRNA from 1 species
CGGUAGGAGCCCCACAGCGUCAGGGCGGGGAGGGCGCUUGGAGAUCCCCCGGGUCGGCCCCCUCCGCACCCCGAUCGACUGAGGCCCGGAGAGUUCAGGAACCGGCUCGGGAGACCUCAGCGCCCGAACUCGGAGUUUUCGGACUUUUCAGGCCUCUGCCAAGGGCUUGGACUCGCAGGUGAAAGGACGGGCUCAUCUCACUUUUUUGUCCUGAGAGGAUGGUGGAAAGCUGCACUUGAAGUCCAACUCUGUCCUGGGGGAAUAAUUAUGUUCCCUGUCUUGGGAGCCUUUCUUCAGGGAGCUUGAUGGUUCCAACCCACCCAGGAGCCUGGGACAUCUGUGCCCCUGGGCAAUCCCCUGCAGUUUCCUGAUUCCAAGAUGAGGGGGUAGAAUCCGAAGAUCUCCAAGGCCUUGAUGAGUGCUACCAGUCUGCAAAUUCCCAAGCCAAGUUCUUCAAUGAAUCAAAUUUCCUCCAGUAGCCAUUUCUACCAAAGGAGCAACUGUUUUUCCUUCCCACUGACAUGGCUAUGUAUUCGAACUGGAUAUAGGUGAGAGGCAUUUUUGUCCUAGCUUCUCGGGCCCCUCCAAGGAGCUCCAAGAGGCUUAAGGAUCCCAGCCAUGUUGGGAUAAAAAUACCCAAUCAAUCAAUAAACAUUUUAUUUAAAAAUGAUUUAUUUAAAAAAUCACACAAUUUGAGAGCAAAUACAGAAGAUAUGAAUUAGCAAAACGAACAAAAUUAAAAUCUCAUACAAUCGCAGGACACUGGGACCUGAAGUCUUGGAGAGGAUGUAAUCACUAAGUCAUCCCAAGGAAGAGUGGGAUGCCUACAAGAGAGGGAUGCCUACAAGAGAGGGAUGCCUAAAUUGGUUACCCCUAAGCCCACCGACUUUUAAGGCAUGUGUAAGUGAGUGGGAACCUGCAAAAAGACUGGAAGGAGCAGCCAGAGAGGUAGGAAGAAAACCAGGAGUGCCUGUUGUCACGGAAGCUGAGGGCAAGGAGGACAGUGGUUGGGAGAAUCUGAUGCAGCAGCUCCAAGGACCAUGGCCCCAGGAACUAGGCACAAGUGACAGGAGACACUUGCUAUGUCUAAACCCAGUGCACCCUCAGCCCGGCCUCGCCUUUUCAAGGACGGCUAGCACAGGCCAUCAUCCUGGCCCACGAUGAAGCAGGUGGCCAAGCGGGAUGGGAGCGCGGGUCUCCCCAUCCCCAGCGGUGACGGGCGGCGGCUCUUUCCUGAAGAAUGGGGCGGCGUCCGCAACGGGAACCGCUGGAGGCGCUCCCCGGGACCCUGGCCCGCCCUCGCCCCCGCGCAUGCCUGGCCGCUGA